UUGACGUCACAGAGUACCCGGAUGCGUCAUAUAAAUUUUCGCGCAGGCCGUUCACCCUUCCUUUCAGUAGAGCGCAAUGUGGUUGCUUCACAAAUUUUCUCAAUUAACGCAUUUCGCGUUUAUGCGAAUAAGUCAAUCAGGAGACAAUGACGAUGGCGUUUGAAGACAGGCAUUGGUCAUCAUACUGACCAGCGAAGAUGUUAAGUCUCUGGAGAGAAGGUGUGCCCUGAUUUGAUCUGUGGUGCCAAGGAGAAGAGCCUGAAGGUGAAGGGACCCAUACAGAUGCCCGCUUAGGCUGUGCAUCAUGACUCGUAAGAAGCCUUGCGGUGAAGAUUCCAAGACCUGGGACAGAUUUCAAAUGUGGAUUCACAAGCAUCUGUUUGAUCUGCACAGCCCAUCUGAGAUCAUCAAGCAGAUAACCAGCAUCCGCAUCGAGCCGGGUGUGGAUGCCGAGGUCACCAUUGCAGAUGCCUAAACUGACGAAUUCAGCUUAUGUGUAAAUGCUUUUUGUGCAAUAAAGGUGGAGAUUUUUCAGA